UAGAAUUAACCGGAAGCGGGGACUUUGAACUAAAUUGACAAACAAGAAAAAUCAUUUUCUCAGUCUUCAGGAAGUUCAGGUCUACAGUUUCAGACUGAAAUAAUAUACAACUAGAGGUUAGAUAACUCUGUAAUAGACAGAAUGGCAGCCUUACAAUUUCAAAAUCGGGAUAAAGAAAAUGUUGAAGGUUUCAUUACUACCAACAGAGCUAAAGGAAAUAGACAAGCCCUCGGGAGUACCUCAAUUCUUCAAAAUCGUGUUAAAUCCAUCCAGAAUACCAAUGUUUCUGCAUUCAUGACACCAAGAAAAACUCUAGGUGAUAUUUUAAACAGUCAACAGACACCUCACACUAUAAAAGGCCAGUCGUUAAAACCAGGCCAGUCGUUAAAACCAGUUUGUGUGAAACCUACGUUGAAUUUACAGAAGAGUUCCAUUAAAUCCAAAAAGAAUGUUUCUUUUAAAUCGGGCAAUAUUCAAGAGAAAGAAAAUAUUAAGAAACCUAAGCAAGUGUUGGCACCUGUUUCUAUGAAAAUUGAAAGUAAACAGAGAAAGAUAGAAUGUGAUGACAUUGAAUUUAUGCACCCACCAGAAGAUGUUAAAGAUGACAGAUAUCCACCACAAGAAGAAAGAGUAUCAAACUAUUUAAAUAAACUCAUCAGUUGGCGACCCCCAUGUUUAUUUGGUAUUCCACCAGUAAGUGACGAUGAUGAUGAGGAAGAUGAAGAAAGACAAAGAAAAGAAAGAAGAGAAGCAUUGUUUGAUAACUUGGAUGCUUUGGCAGGAAUUGAGCCAUUUGAAGAAGAGCCAAGAUUUAACGAAGAAGAUUUAAGCAGUCCAGCAAUGUUAGAGGUAGACAUCCCAUAUAUUGAUGAGACCUUGCCGACAUUAGAUGAUACUCUUCCAUCAUUAGAUGAUUCUUACAGUUGUAAUAUCUCUCCCAGUCUUGGAGUACUACAGUUGAAUGACAGUGUGUUGUAAAAAUAUUGACUUUGACAAUAAACCUGUGGACAUAUCUGGUCAGUGAACAUGCGUAUGGUUGUGGACAUCAAUAUUCUUGUGCUUUGAGACAGCUAAAUAAUGUUAUGAAUCUCCUUUUUUUUGCCAAAAAUUCAGAUGGCUUACUAUAAAUUUUGACUUUAUGUCAAUUGCAUGUCACAGAAACAUCAAACUGAUAUUUCUUACUUUAAAGGGCAUUUUACAUGUAAAUAUGUUGUAUUUUUUUAUUUUUUUUAACUCUUUGCUUAGCAGUAAAACUAA